UACAGAGGGGGCAAGCGUUGUUCGGAAUUACUGGGCGUAAAGGGCGCGUAGGCGGCCUGCUAAGUCGAACGUGAAAUCCCCGGGCUCAACCCGGGAACUGCGUCCGAUACUGGCAGGCUUGAAUCCGGGAGAGGGAUGCGGAAUUCCAGGUGUAGCGGUGAAAUGCGUAGAUAUCUGGAGGAACACCGGUGGCGAAGGCGGCAUCCUGGACCAACACUGACACUGAGGAGCGAAAGCCAGGGGAGCAAACGGG
rnacentral:rRNA from 1 species